GACGAACGCUGGCGGCGUGCUUAACACAUGCAAGUCGAACGGAAAGGCCCUGCUUUUGUGGGGUGCUCGAGUGGCGAACGGGUGAGUAACACGUGAGUAACCUGCCCUUGACUUUGGGAUAACUUCAGGAAACUGGGGCUAAUACCGGAUAGGAGCUCCUGCUGCAUGGUGGGGGUUGGAAAGUUUCGGCGGUUGGGGAUGGACUCGCGGCUUAUCAGCUUGUUGGUGGGGUAGUGGCUUACCAAGGCUUUGACGGGUCGCCGGCCUGAGAGGGUGACCGGCCAAAUUGGGACUGAGAUACGGCCCACACUCCUACGAGAGGUCGCAGUGGGGCAUAGUGCACUAUGGGCGGAAGCCUAAUGCAGCAACUCCGCGUGCGGGAUGACGGCGUUCGGGUUGUACACCGCUUUCGCCUGUGACGAAGCGUGAGUAACGGUAAUGGGUAAAGAAGCACCGGCUAACUACGUG
rnacentral:rRNA from 1 species